AGAAACCAACAGGGAUUGCCUCAGUAACGGCGAGUGAAGCGGCAACAGCUCAAAUUUGAAAUCUGGCCGCAAGGUCCGAGUUGUAAUUUGUAGAGGAUGCUUUUGGCGAGGUGCCUUCCGAGUUCCCUGGAACGGGACGCCAUAGAGGGUGAGAGCCCCGUACGGUAGGACCACCAAGCCUCUGUAAAGCUCCUUCGACGAGUCGAGUAGUUUGGGAAUGCUGCUCUAAAUGGGAGGUGUACGUCUUCUAAAGCUAAAUACCGGCCAGAGACCGAUAGCGCACAAGUAGAGUGAUCGAAAGAUGAAAAGCACUUUGAAAAGAGGGUUAAAAAGUACGUGAAAUUGUUGAAAGGGAAGCAUUCAUGACCAGACUUGGGCUUGGUUGAACAUCCGGCGUUCUCGCCGGUGCACUCUGCCAGUCCAGGCCAGCAUCAGUUUGCCCCGGGGGAUAAAGGCGGCGGGAAUGUGGCUCCCUUCGGGGAGUGUUAUAGCCCGUCGUGUAAUGCCCUGGGGCGGACUGAGGAACGCGCUUCGGCACG
rnacentral:rRNA from 1 species